GGGAGUGGUUUGGCGUUGCACCUGUGUGUCUAGCGUCAGUGAGCGCUGAUGCACAGAGCUGAGUGGAGAGUGAUAUCCCGGAUUGUGUGUGACGCCCGUGUUGUUUUGUCUCCUUUUGAAAGAAUAAACCUCCAUUACUC